UACGCACGCUGGCGGCGUGCUUAACACAUGCAAGUCGAACGGAAAGGCCUGCUUUCCCUUGUGGAUUGCGGGUACUCGAGUGGCGAACGGGUGAGUAACACGUGAGUGAUCUGCCCCCAACUUGGGUAUAAGCCUGGGAAACUGGGUCUAAUUCCCGAUAGGACUGCAGGGUGGUGCCUGUGGUGGAAAACGAUUUUCUAGUGGUUGGGGAUGAGCUCGCGGCCUAUCAGCUUGUUGGUGGGGUAAUGGCCUACCAAGGCGGCGACGGGUAGCCGGCCUGAGAGGGUGGACGGCCACAUUGGGACUGAGAUACCGCCCAGACUCCUACGGGAGGCAGCAGUGGGGAAUAUUGGACAAUGGGCGGAAGCCUGAUGCAGCGACGCCGCGUGGGGGAUGACGGCCUUCGGGUUGUAAACUCCUUUCGACCGCGAGGAAGCCACCUGGUUGGAAGGGUGGUGACGGUAGUGGUAGAAGAAGCACCGGCUAACUACGUG
rnacentral:rRNA from 1 species